CGACCGCCCGCAGCAGAAACCGCCUCCCACCGGCGCAAUUUCCCCCAGAAAAACGGAGGACAGUGUCUUUAUUACGCUUUAUCGCGCUAUCGCCCGUCCUUAAACUGAACGCGGCGCGUCCGAGCGCGCCUUCGGCUCCUCCACCAUGCUCCCGCCGUGACCUGGACGCGGCUCUGCGGACGUGCGAGGCGGACAAAGUGAAAUGCAUCACCGGGACGCUGAACCUGUUCCAUCCCGCACACAAAGCCUGUGGUAGCAGGCCGUGUUUUUCUCCUCUAGCGGACUGCGCGCCGAUGAUGCUCAAACAUGUCGGGGAACCACUACAAGGGCCACGAAGUCAGCUGCUGCAUCAAAUACUUCAUUUUCGGAUUCAACAUCCUGUUCUGGCUUCUGGGCAUGGCCUUGGUUGGAAUAGGACUGUGGGCAUGGAGUGAGAAGGGGGUCUUGUCCAACCUCUCGUCCAUCACGGACCUGGGGGGUCUGGACCCGGUCUGGCUCUUCAUGGUGGUCGGGGGGGUCAUGUUCAUUCUGGGCUUCGCCGGAUGCAUCGGCGCCCUGCGGGAAAACACCUUCCUCCUCAAGUUUUUCUCCGUGUUCCUGGGCAUCAUCUUCUUCCUGGAGCUGACGACAGGAAUCCUGGCGUUUGUCUUCAAGGACUGGAUUAAAGACCAGCUCAACCUGUUCAUUAACAACAACAUCAGAGCGUACAGGGACGACAUUGAUCUUCAGAACCUCAUCGAUUUCACUCAGGAAUACUGGGAGUGCUGUGGGGCGUUUGGGGCCGACGACUGGAAUCUCAACAUCUACUUCAACUGCACCGACGGGAAUCCCAGUCGGGAGAAGUGCGGGGUCCCCUUCUCCUGCUGCACCAAGGACCCGGCGGAGGACGUGAUAAACACUCAGUGCGGAUACGACGUCCGCGCUAAACCAGACUCGGAGCAGAAGGACUACAUCAACGUCAAAGGCUGCGUGCCCCAGUUUGAGAAGUGGCUCCAGGACAACCUGACGCUGGUGGCCGGCAUCUUCAUCGGCGUGGCGCUGCUGCAGAUCUUUGGAAUUUGCUUGGCCCAAAACUUAGUGAGCGACAUCGAGGCCGUGCGGGCGAGCUGGGUGCCCCCCCCUCUCUCCGUGCGUCGACUCCCACCACACUACAGCAAGAAAGCGUCGGCUUACCGCUCAUGAGAAGCUCACACACACACGCGCGCUGUCUGUGUGCUUGUGGCCGUUUCUUCACCUAAUCCUGAAGCAGCAGUUCAACUCUUAACAGACUCGGAUCGCGCCUCCUUGAACACGUCAGCCGGCGGAGGACAACACUGAUCACCUGCACGUCAAGUUCACCGAACCAGCACCUUCUCUAGCACUAACGAGUGGAAGCUCUGUAUAUAACACUGCUGUCAAAGGCCAGGCGUCGGGGAGGACGAUUAGACACGUGCUACAUGCAGAUCAUCACAGCGCACCGGUUUUAAUAGCGACAUGUAGAAAUUAGAGGUUUUGAUACUGCUUUUUAAUAUUAGAUCUGUAUUUUUCACUGUGGAAACGAUCCGAUCCGUUGCUCAACCCGUCACACAGGACUGAGAACUAUCCUACGCCACAAACCAAGGAACUCCUUCCAAAGCUCAGCACAGAAGAAGCUUUUAGAGUCGCAAGCGUCACGGAAACGAGCAGGUCCCAAGACACAGUCGCUGGUUUUAGUCCAAAGCUGGAUGAGUUAGAAUUAAAGAAGCACUCAGACCCAACGUCCUGACCACUCACAGGUGAAGUGAGUGACACUCAAUGCCCCAUCGUGGCACCUGUUAGUGGCUGGGACUCAUGAGACACAGCUGAUGCGUUAGAAGCUGAAACACGGAGUAGGAGGGGGGAUUUGAGCCGUCACUAAAACUAACUCAUCCAGCUGUGAAGCGACGUUUACUCAAACAUCACACUGAGGGAAACUGCUCGCUGCUGUCACGUCGCACUUAUGGUCGCACACGUCUGAACCGAGUUGGAACUAAUCCCCGCGCUUUUCGUGACGCGGCGCUGAAGAUGUUUACGGACUCGCACGUUUAACACAGUAAAAGAACGUCCGUCCCGGCUGCGAAACGACGGCUCGAACCUUAAGGAACUCCAAGGAACCAUGUCUGUGCCACAGCUCGUCCAAGUCCACGUGAAGCAGGACUGACUUGGCUGCGAUCACAUUGCUAAUCCUGCAGUGUAGCGUAAAGAGUAGACAACACACUGUCCUAGAAAAAAACGAGUCAUUUCAUUAAAAAAGUUGUACAGAUAUUAGUUAAUUUCUUUAACAGCAGUUUUAUAAUAUACGGUAAUAGAUCAUUUUCAAAACACUAAUUCAGACUUCUUUGAGCUCUGAAUUCUGAGAUUAGGGUCAGAAGUGAUUAGUUUUUUAACGCUGGCCCUCAUCCUCUUUUGUACGUUACUGUACUUUUAAAGAGGUUUUUAUUUUUAUAGGGUCAAAGGUUUGGAAAAUGACCUUGAUUUUGUAGGUGAAUCAUUUCUUUCACAGACUCGGAGGCCUCGUCCUCUUCACAAGUUCCCUCAUUGUUGCACUUCAGAUAAAGCACAUGUGUCUUUCACUGUGUGAUCUCAUCAGAACACAUGGAAUUUAAAUAUAUCUUAGGUUUUGAAUUUAGUCCAGAGAUGAAAUCUCACAUUUAAUGAAGUGUUGGUGUCUUUUUUUCAGUCUGUUUUUAUUUUGGUGGUUUCAAGUGAUUCCUUUUGUCCAAGGCGUGCGUCACUGGUCCUGUUGUUGUCGCUUGGUCGAGCAUCCACUGUAACGUCUGUCGCCUCACGCCGUUCAGACGAGCUGAGCUGGUUCAAAGGGAUAAACGAUGUCUUUCUGACGUGUGAUAUUUAUUGACGUGAUUUCUGCACUACUGAUCAUGAUUUGUCGACAUCUCCAGAGUCUGGCUGGUUUGGAGGCUGUGACUCGCGUGGAGCAUUAAGCAGACACUGAACCUGAGGUAGAACCAUGAUACAUGUCCAACAAUGAUUUCCCUGAGGGAUGAAGAAAGUUGUUACUGAGAUUUAUAGAUUAAUGUCCACAGUAUUUCCUAAACGUUGUAUGUAACUACCUCCUCCCCUUUUCUUGUUUCAUGUCUCACUGAAAUUUGACUGGUUUUAAUAACAGUACAAUUAAUUAAUAAAGUUGAUAAAAAUGCUA